GAGUUUGAUCCUGGCUCAGGACGACCGCUGGCGGUGUGCUUAACACAUGCAAGUCGAACGGAAAGGCCCCGCUCGCGGGGUACUCGAGUGGCGAACGGGUGAGUAACACGUGGGUGAUCUGCCCUGCACUUCGGGAUAAGCCUGGGAAACUGGGUCUAAUACCGGAUAUGACCUCCCUUUAGUGUGGGGGGUGGAAAGAUUUAUCGGUGCAGGAUGAGCCCGCGGCCUAUCAGCUUGUUGGUGGGGUAAUGGCCUACCAAGGCGUCGACGGGUAGCCGGCCUGAGAGGGUGGACGGCCACAUUGGGACUGAGAUACGGCCCAGACUCCUACGGGAGGCAGCAGUGGGGAAUAUUGCACAAUGGGCGGAAGCCUGAUGCAGCGACGCCGCGUGGGGGAUGACGGCCUUCGGGUUGUAAACCUCUUUCGACAGGGACGAAGUGAAAAUGACGGUACCUGUAUAAGAAGCACCGGCUAACUACGUGCCAGCAGCCGCGGUAAUACGUAGGGUGCGAGCGUUGUCCGGAAUUACUGGGCGUAAAGAGCUCGUAGGUGGUUUGUCACGUCGUCUGUGAAAUUCCGGGGCUUAACCUCGGGCGUGCAGGCGAUACGGGCAAUACUUGAGUGCUGUAGGGGAGACUGGAAUUCCUGGUGUAGCGGUGAAAUGCGCAGAUAUCAGGAGGAACACCAAUGGCGAAGGCAGGUCUCUGGGCAGUUACUUGACGCUGAGGAGCGAAAGCAUGGGUAGCGAACAGGAUUAGAUACCCUGGUAGUCCAUGCCGUAAACGGUGGGCGCUAGGUGUAGGGGACUUCCACGUUCUCUGUGCCGUAGCUAACGCAUUAAGCGCCCCGCCUGGGGAGUACGGCCGCAAGGCUAAAACUCAAAGGAAUUGACGGGGGCCCGCACAAGCGGCGGAGCAUGUGGAUUAAUUCGAUGCAACGCGAAGAACCUUACCUGGGCUUGACAUACACCGGACCGGCGUAGAGAUACGUCUUCCCUUGUGGCCGGUGUACAGGUGGUGCAUGGUUGUCGUCAGCUCGUGUCGUGAGAUGUUGGGUUAAGUCCCGCAACGAGCGCAACCCUUGUCUUAUGUUGCCAGCACGUGAUGGUGGGGACUCAUGAGAGACUGCCGGGGUCAACUCGGAGGAAGGUGGGGAUGACGUCAAAUCAUCAUGCCCCUUAUGUCCAGGGCUUCACACAUGCUACAAUGGUCGGUACAGCAGGUCGCGAACUCGUGAGAGUAAGCCAAUCCUUCAAAGCCGGCCUCAGUUCGGAUUGGGGUCUGCAACUCGACCCCAUGAAGUCGGAGUCGCUAGUAAUCGCAGAUCAGCAACGCUGCGGUGAAUACGUUCCCGGGCCUUGUACACACCGCCCGUC
rnacentral:rRNA from 1 species